UAGUCCACGCCGUAAACGAUGAUUACUCGUUGUGUGCGAUAUAUUGUACGUGACUGAGCGAAAGCAUUAAGUAAUCCACCUGGGGAGUACGGUCGCAAGAUUGAAACUCAAAGGAAUUGACGGGGGCCCGCACAAGCGGAGGAACAUGUGGUUUAAUUCGAUGAUACGCGAGGAACCUUACCUGGGCUUAAAUGUAGAAUGACUUUUGCCGAAAGGUGAUUUCCCUUCGGGGCAUUUUACAAGGUGCUGCAUGGUUGUCGUCAGCUCGUGCCGUGAGGUGUCGGGUUAAGUCCCAUAACGAGCGCAACCCUUAUCAUUAGUUGCCAUCGGGUCAUGCCGGGGACUCUAAUGAGACUGCCAGUGUAAACUGUGAGGAAGGUGGGGAUGACGUCAAAUCAGCACGGCCCUUAUGUCCAGGGCUACACACGUGUUACAAUGGUCGAUACAAAGGGCAGCUACCUGGUGACAGGAUGCUAAUCUCUAAAGUCGAUCUCAGUUCGG
rnacentral:rRNA from 1 species